UACGAAGGGGGCGAGCGUUGUUCGGAAUUACUGGGCGUAAAGGGCGCGUAGGCGGUCCUUCAAGUCAGGCGUGAAAGCCCCGGGCUCAACCUGGGAACCGCGCUUGAGACUGGCGGACUCGAGUUCGGGAGAGGAUGGUGGAAUUCCCGGUGUAGUGGUGGAAUGCGUAGAUAUCGGGAGGAACACCAGUGGCGAAGGCGGUUACCUGGAGCUUUGCUGACGCUGAUGCGCGAAAGCGUGGGGAGCGAUCCGG
rnacentral:rRNA from 1 species